UACGUAGGUGGCAAGCGUUUGUCCGGAAUUAUUGGGCGUAAAGCGCGCGCAGGUGGUUCUUUAAGUCUGAUGUGAAAGCCCACGGCUCAACCGUGGAGGGUCAUUGGAAACUGGGGAACUUGAGUGCAGAAGAGGAAAGUGGAAUUCCAAGUGUAGCGGUGAAAUGCGUAGAGAUUUGGAGGAACACCAGUGGCGAAGGCGGCUUCCUGGCCCAGUACUGACGCUGAGGCACGAAAGCGUGGGGAGCGAACGGG
rnacentral:rRNA from 1 species